CUGACCGAGGUUCCAUGAACGCUGGAACCGGUGAAAGGGAACCACGUUACCGUUCGUCGCCCCGGGCCAUUUAGGCUUCCCUGCUGCUGACCUAUCGAUCUAGAAGAAGGUCAGAAAGCUCAUGUUGACACAAAAGCUCACACCGCGGAAGCAACUCCCCGAACAACCCAAAAACUGAUCGCAGGCCAGUGGAGGGCAGCUGCGCAUGCUCACACCGCAGGGAGCGUCCCGCCCAUUCUGCGCAUGCUCAAAAGCUCCAGGCCUUCUCCUCCCCCUAGACCCCAAAACGCGCAACUCUCAACUGUCACCCGGUGAAAUGGGAGCGUCCUAUCAGUCCCCGCCACCCUACAGGGUAGAUACUCAUCUGACUCGGCAAAUGUUGUCUAUCUGAUGCUUUGCAGGCAGGGAUGCCCCGGGGCAUGGCAUAUUGGCGACAUCAACGGUUGGAUGAACACUGCCGGAAAAUCUGCAGACUGGGAUGUUCCUUCCGUGUUGGGGGGAACGUUUCAGCCGUCAAGGGCAUUCAGCCACUCACCUUCGGGCGUUGCUGGCGAGGCAGCAUUUAUUGCCCAACUCUAAUUGCCCAGAGGGCAGUUCAACAUCAGCCACAUUGCUUUGGGUCUGGAGUCACACGUAGGCUGGACCAGUUGGCAGGCAUUGACUGGGGAUUUGCUUUGACUCCUAUAUAAGAACAGACUGAAAAUGAAAUAAGAAUGGAGUCAAGGAUCUUCGAAGUAGAUGAUAAAAUCAGCUAUGAACAUAUUGAAUGGUGGAGCAGAAUUGAGGGAUCAAAUGGCUUGUCACUCCCUGCUCCUGAUUCGUACUCAUAUGUUUAUAUGA